GACACAGCUGAAAGAGAUUGACCCACAACCACUCUAGGGGCCAUCACCUGCCCUUCUUCAGUCCUGGGCGUGAAGGUAGAUUUCUCCCCUAGCCUGUGCGGGAGAGGAGCCCUGGUUUUUCUAACAAGGACUACUGUAGGUUCGCCGAGUUCGAGGGACGCUACGUAUGCAGCGCCUACGCCCGGACACAGGCUUCCGCGUUACCGACACCGCGUGGGGGAGGAGGGCAAGACCCGAGGCUUGCAGAGAUGGGGGGUGCACGGUGGCCACAGUAGGGAAGGUGCGGAGCAUGAUGGUGCUCUGUAGGAGCGCAGACGCUGAAAGGCGCGCUGCUGUGGCUGGGAGAAGAGCGGAGCCAGGAGUUUGUUCCCAAUAUCUUAGUGCUAUGGCAAAAGAAGGGGGAGGAGUAAUUGUGGGGCCCCCCACACACCCGCUGCGGCGAUACACUCACCCUCGCCAAAGUCCUUCCGGAAGUCUAAGUUCGAAGAUGGCGCCGCCUGUCUGGUCGCGGUCUUAUGACGAAAUCUUGUUAGCUGCUCUUCACUGACGCCCCCACCCCAGUGCACAAGCGCGGCCAGAGUCACCGAGCCCUCCGAAGCCAGCCGAGUUCCAGGGCGUCUUCAGCGGCGCCAGGGACGCUGCAGGGCCUCAUGGGAGUUGCAGUGUCAAAAAGGGGAGAUCGACGCCUGCGCGGCCAACGGGAUCCCACGCGGCCUCGACGGGAGCCGGGAGUAGGCGGACUCCCAGGCCGGGCUCGCGCUCUGGAUCCCUGAAUCCGGCCUUUCCGGCCGGACUGCCGCGCCUGUGGCCGGAAGAGCCAGCUAGACCAGAGAGUCUGUACCUGCAACCCUGGCGGCGUCCGAGCCCAAGGCGGAGUCUGGGAGACAAAGAAGUCCUCGCCGCCGGCCGCUGGAGGAUUCUGCCAGUAGUGAAAGAUGGGGUCUCGUUAUGUUGACCAGGCUGGUCUUGAACACCUGACCUGAAGUGAUCCUCUUGCCUCAGCCUCCCAUAGUGCUGCGAUCACAGGUGUAAGUCACUGAGUUUGGCCAUUAUUCCAUUUCUGUACACAAAAACCUUUCUCAUUCUGUGCUAUAACUAGUUAGCAUUUAAUUGGGUGGAUGUGGUAUAACUAGUGCCUUGUUGAUAUUGAUGCAUAUUUACAUGGUUUUGCUGUUAUAAACAAUGGUCCCUUGCUAUUAUAAAUCACACUGCUAUAAGUAACCUUGCAUCUAAAUUACUUCAAAUGUGUAACUAUAUGGGUAGGAUAAUUUCUAGAAGUGGAAUUGUGAACCAAAGUUUUAGGUGCAUUUGUAAUUUUGAUUUAUAACCAAUCUUUUCACUGAUCUACUUCUCUGCCUCUAAUUUCUACUAGGUGUUUGUUUGUUUGUUUGUUUGUUUUGAGACAGGGUCUUGCUCUGUCACCCAGGCUGGAGGACAGUGGUGCAAUCACGGCUCACUGCAGCCUCAACCUGCCACCUCAGCCUCCUGAAUAGUUGGGGUGUGUGGCAGGUGUAUACCACCACUUCCAGGUUUUUUUGUUGUUGUUGUUUAAUAGAGAUGAGGUCUUGCUAUAUUGCCCAGGCAGGUCUCACACUACUGAGCGCAAGCGAUCCUCCUGCCUAUGCCUCCCAAAGUGCUGGGAUUACAGGUGUGAGUUGCCAUGCCUGGCCCGGUUAUCUUUCUAAAGCAUAAAGCAACCCUGUUGAUCCUCUGCUUAAUUUUGAUGAUUAAGUAGUAUGUUCAAAAUAUAGAAAUCCAUGUAUUGAUAAUGAUCUUUUAAAAAAAGUAAAAGCCAAAAUAUCAGCUACUCAUCCUACACCAUUGAAAGUAGUGACCAUUAAACUGCUCUACCUCUACCUCCACCUCUCUACCUCUCUACCUCUCUACCUCUACCUCUACCCACGGUCUCCCUCUCUUUCCAUGGUCUCCCUCUCAUGUGGAGCCGAAGCUGGACUGUACUGCUGCCAUCUCGGCUCACUGCAACCUCCCUGCCUGAUUCUCCUGCCUCAGCCUGCCGAGUGCCUGCGAUUGCAGGCACGCGCUGCCACGCCUGACUGGUUUUGGUGGAGACGGGGUUUCGCUGUGUUGGCCGGGCCGGUCUCCAGCCCCUAACCGCGAGUGAUCCGCCAGCCUCGGCCUCCCGAGGUGCCGGGAUUGCAGACGGAGUCUCGUUCACUCAGUGCUCAAUGGUGCCCAGGCUGGAGUGCAGUGGCGUGAUCUCGGCUCGCUACAACCUACACCUCCCAGCCGCCUGCCUUGGCCUCCCAAAGUGCCGAGAUUGCAGCCUCUGCCCAGCCGCCACCCCGUCUGGGAAGUGAGGAGUGUCUCUGCCUGGCCGCCCAUCGUCUGGGAUGUGAGGAGCCCCUCUGCCUGGCUGCCCAGUCUGGAAAGUGAGGAGCGUCUCCGCCCGGCCGCCAUCCCAUCUAGGAAGUGAGGAGUGCCUCUUCCCAGCCGCCAUCACAUCUAGGAAGUGAGGAGCGUCUCUGCCCGGCCGCCCAUCGUCUGAGAUGUGGGGAGCGCCUCUGCCCCGCCGCCCCAUCUGGGAUGUGAGGAGCGCCUCUGCCCGGCCGCGACCCCGUCUGGGAGGUGAGGAGCGUCUCUGCCCGGCCGCCCCGUCUGAGAAGUGAGGAGCCACCCCAUCUGGGAAGUGAGGAGCAUCUCCGCCCGGCAGCCACCCCGUCCGGGAGGGAGGUGGGGGGUCAGCCCCCCGCCCGGCCAGCCGCCCCGUCCGGGAGGGAGGUGGGGGGGUCAGCCCCCUGCCCGGCCAGCCGCCCCGUCCGGGAGGUGAGGGGCGCCUCUGCCCGGCCGCCCCUACUGGGAAGUGAGGAGCCCCUCUGCCCGGCCACCACCCCGUCUGGGAGGUGUGCCCAACAGCUCAUUGAGAACGGGCCAGGAUGACAAUGGCGGCUUUGUGGAAUAGAAAGGCGGGAAAGGUGGGGAAAAGAUUGAGAAAUCGGAUGGUUGCCGUGUCUCUGUAGAAAGAAGUAGACAUGGGAGACUUUUCAUUUUGUUCUGCACUAAGAAAAAUUCUUCUGCCUUGGGAUCCUGUUGAUCUGUGACCUUACCCCCAACCCUGUGCUCUCUGAAACAUGUGCUGUGUCCACUCAGGGUUAAAUGGAUUAAGGGCGGUGCAAGAUGUGCUUUGUUAAACAGAUGCUUGAAGGCAGCAUGCUCGUUAAGAGUCAUCACCAAUCCCUAAUCUCAAGUAAUCAGGGACACAAACACUGCGGAAGGCCGCAGGGUCCUCUGCCUAGGAAAACCAGAGACCUUUGUUCACUUGUUUAUCUGCUGACCUUCCCUCCACUGUUGUCCCAUGACCCUGCCAAAUCCCCCUCUGUGAGAAACACCCAAGAAUUAGCAAUAAAAAAAUAAAUUAAAAAAUAAAAAAAUAAAAAAAUAAAAAAAACUCAUUAAGCUCUAAAAAAAAAAAAAAAAAAGAAAGAAAAAAAGAAAGUAGUGACCAAUUCCUGAAAAUUGGCAAAAAAAAAAAAAAGGCAAGAGUAAGGCAUUUAUCUUGUCUUUCCAGUAUGAACUCUAGUUCAAAAUAACUGAUGAGAGGAAGGUUUUGUUUGUUUUUUGAGACUGAGUCUCACUCUGUCGCCCAGGCUGGAGUGCAGUGGCGCGAUCUCGGCUCACUGCAACCUCUGCCUCCCAGGUUCAAGCAAUUCUUGUGCCUCAGCCUCCUGAGUAGCUGGGAUUACAGGCGCCCGCCACCACUCCCGGCUAAUUUUUGUAUUUUUUUAGUAGAGACGGGGUUUCACCAUGUUGGCGAGGCUGGUCUUGAACUCCUGACCUCAGGUGAUCCGCACACCUAAGCCUCCCAACGUGCUGGGAUUACGGGUGUGAGCCAUUGCCCAGCCCGGGAUUUUUUUUUUUUUUUAUAGAUUAACAGCUAGUAAUUGUGCAAAGAAUGAUAGAAAAAAAUCACUAUUUUGCAUGUCCCAGUGAAAUAAUUCAGGCAACAAUCACCAGUGGAUGAAAUCCCUAAAGAGCUUUUAGGAAGCUUUAAAAUGCCUGGACCCACUCAUCACUGAACAUGAAACCACCAGUCAUUGUUUGCCUCCUGAUGUGAGGCAAUAUAAAGCACACAGAACCACUUAUUAAACAUUCUUGCCCAAAAAAUUGAAUAGGAAUACAGGACUUAGGGGCCAGGCGUGGUGGCUCACACCUGUAAUCCCAGCACUUUGGGAGGCCAAGGAGGGCGGAUAAUCUGAGGUCAGGAGUUCAAGACCAGCCUGGCC
rnacentral:lncRNA from 1 species